CCUGGUGGCUUAGAGGGUAAAGCAUCUGCCUGCAAUACAGGAGACCCGGGUUUGAUCCCUGGGUCAGGA
rnacentral:tRNA from 1 species